GACGAACGCUGGCGGCGUGCUUAACACAUGCAAGUCGAACGGAAAGGCCUCUUUCGGGGGGUACUCGAGUGGCGAACGGGUGAGUAACACGUGAGUAACCUGCCCUUGACUUUGGGAUAACUUCAGGAAACUGGGGCUAAUACCGGAUAGGAGCUCCUGCUGCAUGGUGGGGGUUGGAAAGUUUCGGCGGUUGGGGAUGGACUCGCGGGUUAUCAGCUUGUUGGUGGGGUAGUGGCUUACCAAGGCUUUGACGGGUAGCCGGCCUGUGAGGGUGACCGGCCACAUUGGGACUGAGAUACGGCCCAGACUCCGACGGGAGGCAGCAGGGGGGAAUAUUGCACAAUGGGUGGAAGCCGGAUGCAGCAACGCCGUGUGCGGGAGGACGGCCUUCGGGUUGUAAACCGCUUUCGCUCAUGACGAAGCUUUGUGUGACGGUAGUGGGUAAAGAAGCACCGGCUAACUACGUG
rnacentral:rRNA from 1 species